rnacentral:rRNA from 1 species
GACGAACGCUGGCGGCGUGCUUAACACAUGCAAGUCGAACGGUAAGGCCCUUCGGGGUACACGAGUGGCGAACGGGUGAGUAACACGUGGGUGAUCUGCCCUGCACUUCGGGAUAAGCCUGGGAAACUGGGUCUAAUACCGGCUAGGACUCCUGGCUUCAUGGUUGGGGGUGGAAAGCUUUUGCGGUGUGGGAAGGGCCCGCGGCCUAUCAGCUUGUUGGUGGGGUAAUGGCCUACCAAGGCGACGACGGGUAGCCGGCCUGAGGGGGUGACCGGUCACACUGGGACUGAGAUACGGCCCAGACUCCUACGGGAGGCAGCAGUGGGGAAUAUUGCACAAUGGGCGCAAGCCUGAUGCAGCGACGCCGCGUGAGGGAUGACGGCCUUCGGGUUGUAAACCUCUUUCAGCUAUGACGAAGCGCAAGUGACGGUAGUAGCAGAAGAAGGACCGGCCAACUACGUGCCAGCCGCCGCGGUAA